rnacentral:lncRNA from 1 species
GGCAUUUUGGUAUCCAUUUUUUAAUUCUUUUUUUAUCAUUUAAUUUUUGUUUUUUAGUCAAAAUGAUUAGCAUAAUUAAUUAGAGUUAAUCGAUUAUUUAGUUUAAACUUAUCUUUGUUUCUUUUACUUUAAUUUAAUUACCCAAAAGAUCUAUUUUCAUAAUUCAAAAUAUAAUAAAAGAAAUAAAAAAAUAAAAAAAUUUAAUUUACCAACAGCAUGGUGACAUGUGGCAUCCUCCAAUUGAAGACAUUCAUCCAACAAGCGACACAUGUCCUCACAUGUGCAUCUCAAAUGGCUAUCUUAGGUGGACUUCCAUUGCUUGCUAAAAUAUCUCCCAACCUCCACUCCCUUGAUUUUCAGAUAUUCCUCCCACGUGACUAAUAUUUCUUUCUCCUA